rnacentral:rRNA from 1 species
UACGAAGGGGGGCUAGCGUUGCUCGGAAUUACUGGGCGUAAAGGGAGCGUAGGCGGACAUUUAAGUCAGAGGUGAAAAUCCCCGGAGCUUAACUUCGGAACUGCCUUUGAUACUGGGGUGUCUUGAGUGUGAGAGAGGUAUGUGGAACUCCGAGUGUAGAGGUGAAAUUCGUAGAUAUUCGGAAGAACACCAGUGGCGAAGGCGACAUACUGGCUCAUUACUGACGCUGAGGCUCGAAAGCGUGGGGGAGCAAACAGG